AUUGAACGCUGGCGGCAUGCUUUACACAUGCAAGUCGAACGGUAACAGGCCGCAAGGUGCUGACGAGUGGCGAACGGGUGAGUAAUGCAUCGGAACGUGCCCAGUCGUGGGGGAUAACGCAGCGAAAGCUGCGCUAAUACCGCAUACGAUCUCUGGAUGAAAGCGGGGGACCGAAAGGCCUCGCGCGAUUGGAGCGGCCGAUGUCAGAUUAGGUAGUUGGUGGGGUAAAGGCCCACCAAGCCAACGAUCUGUAGCUGGUCUGAGAGGACGACCAGCCACACUGGGACUGAGACACGGCCCAGACUCCUACGGGAGGCAGCAGUGGGGAAUUUUGGACAAUGGGCGCAAGCCUGAUCCAGCAAUGCCGCGUGCAGGAAGAAGGCCUUCGGGUUGUAAACUGCCUUUGUACGGAACGAAACGGUCCGGGUUAAUACCCUGGGCUAAUGACGGUACCGUAAGAAUAAGCACCGGCUAACUACGUGCCAGCCGCCGCUGUAAUAC
rnacentral:rRNA from 1 species